UUUAGUACAAAAUUUACUAUAUAUGUGACUUUUUUUAAAAUUUUUUUGUUUUACAAUAUUUAAAUUUAAAUAUUAGGUUACCCUAGAUUUAGAAAUUUUUUUUAGUACUAACAAAAUUUGUGCCAGCAGUUGCGGUUACACUAAUAGUACAAUUAAAUUUUCUUAGUUAUGAUUAAUUGAUUAUUAAAUUAUAAAUUAUAUUUAAUUUUUGGAGGUGAAAUUUAAAUAUUAAGUUAACUUAGCUUUUUUUUUGAGAUCAGUAAAUUAAUAAUUAAACUAGGAUUAGAUACCCUAUUAUUAAAACUUAAAUUUAUUGCUUUAUUACUAAUAGCUAUGUUCUUUAAAGUAAAGGAAUUUGGCGGUAUUUUAGUCUAUUUAGAGGAAUCUGCUCCGUAAUUGAUAAUCCACACUUAUAUAUACUUAACUUUUUAAUUUACAUAUCGUUGUUUAAACCAUUUUUUUAGGAUAUGGUUAUAUAUUUUUUAAAGAAUGUAAUUCAGAUCAAGGUGUAGUUUAUGGUUAAGGGGAGGUGGAUUACAAUAACUUAAGUUAAGGAUUUUAGUAUUUAUUAUUAAAUGAAUUUGGAUUUAAUAGUAAAUUUUAAUAUUUUUUAAAUUUGAUUUUAGCUCUAAAAUAUGUACAUAUCGCCCGUCGCUUUCAGUUAAGUUGAAAUAAGUCGUAACAAAGUAGGCUUACUGGAAGGUGUGCCUAGAAACAC
rnacentral:ncRNA from 1 species